GACGAACGCUGGCGGCGUGCCUAACACAUGCAAGUCGAGCGCUGCAUUCGGGUCUUUUUACCAACUGGCUGAGCAGCGGACGGUAGAGUAACUUGGGGUGCGUCUGCCUCUGAGCGGGGGACAACAAUUGCAGACGAAUUCUCAUACCCCAUAACAUCUUUAAACACAAGGUUUAAGCUUGAAAGAUGCAAGUGCAUCACUCAAAGAUGAACCCGCGUUGUAUUAGCUAGCUGGUGAGGUAAAGGCUCACCAAGGCGAUGAUACAUAGCCGACCUGAGAGGGUGAUCGGCCACAUUGGGACGGAGACACGGCCCAAACUCCUACGGGAGGCAGCAGUAGGGAAUCUUCAGCAAUGGCCGCAAGGCUGACCGAGCAACGCCGGGUGAGAGAAGAAGGUAUUCGGAUCGUAAAAGUCUGUUAGUAGUGAAGAACGUUGGUGAGUGUGGAACGCGCUUCGAGUGACGGUAACUAGACAAAAAGGGACGGCUAACUACGUG
rnacentral:rRNA from 1 species